ACUCUAAGCGGUGGAUCACUCGGCUCAUGGGUCGAUGAAGAACGCAGCAAACUGUGCGUCAUCGUGUGAACUGCAGGACACAUGAACAUCGACAUUUUGAACGCAUAUCGCAGUCCAUGCUGUUAUGUACUUUAAUUAAUUUUAUAGUGCUGCUUGGACUACAUAUGGUUGAGGGUUGUAAGACUAUGCUAAUUAAGUUGCUUAUAAAUUUUUAUAAGCAUAUGGUAUAUUAUUGGAUAAAUAUAAUAAUUUUUAUUCAUAAUAUUAAAAAAUAAAUGAAAAACAUUAUCUCACAUUUGAAUGUGAAAAACGAAGAGAAAUAUUUUCUUUUUCAAUCAAAUAAUACUGAGAAAUGUCUAGCAUAAAAAAUUGAAAUAUUUUUCAUCUAGAAUUGUCUCUUAUUAAUGAUUCGGAAAUAGAAAAAUCUUGGUUAUGUUAUUAUUCUUCGUUGGUUCGUUAAAAAUGGAUAAAUAAAAACUUUGCAUACAAGAAUUAAUAAAAAUGUUAUAACGAAUUUAAUUAAAUGUUUUAUCAUUAUAUAUAAAGAAUUUAUGGCAAGAUAAAGUUAUAUACAACCUCAACUCAUAUGGGACUACCCCCUGAAUUUAAGCAUAUUAAUUAGGGGAGGAAAAGAAACUAACAAGGAUUUUCUUAGUAGCGGCGAGCGAAAAGAAAACAGUUCAGCACUAAGUCACUUUGUCUAUAUGGCAAAUGUGAGAUGCAGUGUAUGGAGCGUCAAUAUUCUAGUAUGAGAAAUUAACGAUUUAAGUCCUUCUUAAAUGAGGCCAUUUACCCAUAGAGGGUGCCAGGCCCGUAUAACGUUAAUGAUUACUAGAUGAUGUUUCCAAAGAGUCGUGUUGCUUGAUAGUGCAGCACUAAGUGGGUGGUAAACUCCAUCUAAAACUAAAUAUAACCAUGAGACCGAUAGUAAACAAGUACCGUGAGGGAAAGUUGAAAAGAACUCUGAAUAGAGAGUUAAACAGUACGUGAAACUGCUUAGAGGUUAAGCCCGAUGAACCUGAAUAUCCGUUAUGGAAAAUUCAUCAUUAAAAUUGUAAUAUUUAAAUAAUAUUAUGAGAAUAGUGUGCAUUUUUUCCAUAUAAGGACAUUGUAAUCUAUUAGCAUAUACCAAAUUUAUCAUAAAAUAUAACUUAUAGUUUAUUCCAAUUAAAUUGCUUGCAUUUUAACACAGAAUAAAUGUUAUUAAUUUGAUAAAGUGCUGAUAGAUUUAUAUGAUUACAGUGCGUUAAUUUUUCGGAAUUAUAUAAUGGCAUAAUUAUCAUUGAUUUUUGUGUUUAUUAUAUGCACUUGUAUGAUUAACAAUGCGAAAGAUUCAGGAUACCUUCGGGACCCGUCUUGAAACACGGACCAAGGAGUCUAACAUAUGUGCAAGUUAUUGGGAUAUAAACCUAAUAGCGUAAUUAACUUGACUAAUAAUGGGAUUAGUUUUUUAGCUAUUUAUAGCUAAUUAACACAAUCCCGGGGCGUUCUAUAUAGUUAUGUAUAAUGUAUAUUUAUAUUAUUUAUGCCUCUAACUGGAACGUACCUUGAGCAUAUAUGCUGUGACCCGAAAGAUGGUGAACUAUACUUGAUCAGGUUGAAGUCAGGGGAAACCCUGAUGGAAGACCGAAACAGUUCUGACGUGCAAAUCGAUUGUCAGAAUUGAGUAUAGGGGCGAAAGACCAAUCGAACCAUCUAGUAGCUGGUUCCUUCCGAAGUUUCCCUCAGGAUAGCUGGUGCAUUUUAAUAUUAUAUAAAAUAAUCUUAUCUGGUAAAGCGAAUGAUUAGAGGCCUUAGGGUCGAAACGAUCUUAACCUAUUCUCAAACUUUAAAUGGGUAAGAACCUUAACUUUCUUGAUAUGAAGUUCAAGGUUAUGAUAUAAUGUGCCCAGUGGGCCACUUUUGGUAAGCAGAACUGGCGCUGUGGGAUGAACCAAACGUAAUGUUACGGUGCCCAAAUUAACAACUCAUGCAGAUACCAUGAAAGGCGUUGGUUGCUUAAAACAGCAGGACGGUGAUCAUGGAAGUCGAAAUCCGCUAAGGAGUGUGUAACAACUCACCUGCCGAAGCAACUAGCCCUUAAAAUGGAUGGCGCUUAAGUUGUAUACCUAUACAUUACCGCUAAAGUAGAUGAUUUAUAUUACUUGUGAUAUAAAUUUUGAAACUUUAGUGAGUAGGAAGGUACAAUGGUAUGCGUAGAAGUGUUUGGCGUAAGCCUGCAUGGAGCUGCCAUUGGUACAGAUCUUGGUGGUAGUAGCAAAUAAUCGAAUGAGACCUUGGAGGACUGAAGUGGAGAAGGGUUUCGUGUGAACAGUGGUUGAUCACGAGUUAGUCGGUCCUAAGUUCAAGGCGAAAGCCGAAAAUUUUCAAGUAAAACAAAAAUGCCUAACUAUAUAAACAAAGCGAAUUAUAAUACACUUGAAUAAUUUUGAACGAAAGGGAAUACGGUUCCAAUUCCGUAACCUGUUGAGUAUCCGUUUGUUAUUAAAUAUGGGCCUCGUGCUCAUCCUGGCAACAGGAACGACCAUAAAGAAGCCGUCGAGAGAUAUCGGAAGAGUUUUCUUUUCUGUUUUAUAGCCGUACUACCAUGGAAGUCUUUCGCAGAGAGAUAUGGUAGAUGGGCUAGAAGAGCAUGACAUAUACUGUUGUGUCGAUAUUUUCUCCUCGGACCUUGAAAAUUUAUGGUGGGGACACGCAAACUUCUCAACAGGCCGUACCAAUAUCCGCAGCUGGUCUCCAAGGUGAAGAGUCUCUAGUCGAUAGAAUAAUGUAGGUAAGGGAAGUCGGCAAAUUAGAUCCGUAACUUCGGGAUAAGGAUUGGCUCUGAAGAUUGAGAUAGUCGGGCUUGAUUGGGAAACAAUAACAUGGUUUAUGUGCUCGUUCUGGGUAAAUAGAGUUUCUAGCAUUUAUGUUAGUUACUUGUUCCCCGGAUAGUUUAGUUACGUAGCCAAUUGUGGAACUUUCUUGCUAAAAUUUUUAAGAAUACUAUUUGGGUUAAACCAAUUAGUUCUUAUUAAUUAUAACGAUUAUCAAUUAACAAUCAAUUCAGAACUGGCACGGACUUGGGGAAUCCGACUGUCUAAUUAAAACAAAGCAUUGUGAUGGCCCUAGCGGGUGUUGACACAAUGUGAUUUCUGCCCAGUGCUCUGAAUGUCAAAGUGAAGAAAUUCAAGUAAGCGCGGGUCAACGGCGGAUAACUAUGACUCUCUUAAGGUAGCCAAAUGCCUCGUCAUCUAAUUAGUGACGCGCAUGAAUGGAUUAACGAGAUC
rnacentral:rRNA from 1 species